UACGGAGGGGGCUAGCGUUGUUCGGAAUUACUGGGCGUAAAGCGCACGUAGGCGGCUUUGUAAGUUAGCGGUGAAAGCCCAGGGCUUAACCCUGGAAUUGCCUUUAAGACUGCAUCGCUAGAAUUGUGGAGAGGUGAGUGGAAUUCCGGGUGUAGAGGUGAAAUUCGUAGAUAUUCGGAAGAACACCAGUGGCGAAGGCGGCUCGCUGGACACAUAUUGACGCUGAGGUGCGAAAGCGUGGGGAGCGAACAGG
rnacentral:rRNA from 1 species